rnacentral:rRNA from 1 species
AGUGAACGCUGGCGGUGGGCCUAACACAUGCAAGUCGAACGGCAGCACAGUAAGAGCUUGCUCUUACGGGUGGCGAGUGGCGGACGGGUGAGGAAUACAUCGGAAUCUACUUUUUCGUGGGGGAUAACGUAGGGAAACUUACGCUAAUACCGCAUACGACCUACGGGUGAAAGCAGGGGAUCUUCGGACCUUGCGCGAUUGAAUGAGCCGAUGUCGGAUUAGCUAGUUGGCGGGGUAAAGGCCCACCAAGGCGACGAUCCGUAGCUGGUCUGAGAGGAUGAUCAGCCACACUGGAACUGAGGCACGGUCCAGACUCCUACGGGAGGCAGCAGUGGGGAAUAUUGGACAAUGGGCGCAAGCCUGAUCCAGCCAUACCGCGUGGGUGAAGAAGGCCUUCGGGUUUUAAAGCCCUUUUGUUGGGAAAGAAAAGCAGCAGGUUAAUACCCCGCUGUUCUGACGGUACCCAAAGAAUAAGCACCGGCUAACUUCGUG